ACGUAGGGUGCAAGCGUUAAUCGGAAUUACUGGGCGUAAAGCGUGCGCAGGCGGUUAUAUAAGACAGAUGUGAGAUCCCCGGGCUCAACCUGGGAACUGCAUUUGUGACUGUAUAGCUAGAGUACGGUAGAGGGGGAUGGAAUUCCGCGUGUAGCAGUGAAAUGCGUAGAUAUGCGGAGGAACACCGAUGGCGAAGGCAAUCCCCUGGACCUGUACUGACGCUCAUGCACGAAAGCGUGGGGAGCAAACAGGAUUAGAUACCCUGGUAGUCCACGCCCUAAACGAUGUCAACUGGUUGUUGGGUCUUCACUGACUCAGUAACGAAGCUAACGCGUGAAGUUGACCGCCUGGGGAGUACGGCCGCAAGGUUG
rnacentral:rRNA from 1 species